CUUCAGAAGGCAUAUUCCGUUGAUUUCAGACCACUCAAUGUACUGCGCGCUGCUGCAUUCCAAGGGGCUCAUUAUAUUUCACCAUUGAAAAGGCAAAUAAUCUCGUAUGCAUCUGGUAACCAAGCUUGUACACUCGUUUAAGGAAGGUUCGGAGGAAUGGUCCAAGAAGGCGGUAGAGCUUGAGUCAUGAAGACUUUAGAAUUUGGUUGUGGAAUUUCAAAUAUCUGUUUGUCUUAUGUCUUAAUGCAUGCUGGACGCAAAUGGAAGGUGUAUGAGGUGGCAAAGACGGUCUUUGAAAACAAUGACAUAGAAACUAGAAAGUCUUUGCAAAGUGAUAAUGGUGGUAAAAGGUCGAUCAUUUUCUUGGCUUUCACUCUUCAUUUCAUCCAUCAAGCAUUCCUUUAUAUGUUUGCAUUGUUAUCUUGAGUUCUUGAUAUUUAUCAUCUACAUUAUGGGGUUGUGAUUUUCUUUUUAUCUAUGGCAAGUUUGUUCCUUUGAUAAAUAGUGUUGGAUGCUUUUUAAGUGGUUUUCAAUUACUUUACUACUGUGGUGUGGGUGUUUCUCAUCUUGUUUUAUUUGGUUGUGCUUUUAUGUUAUCUCAUUCAAGUAAACGAUGUGUAUUGUUCUUUGUGGUAUAUGAAGCUCUGUGAGACAUAUUUUGUUGUUGGGAUGUCUGUAAUUGUUUAGCAUUUUAGGAUUAGACUCUUGAUUCAAUUGAAAUUACAUGAAACUUCUCAUAUUCUAAUUUUGAUUUGAGAUAAAACCAUUUCGAAAGUAAAGAAUUCCAUGACAUAUAUGUAGUGUUAAUUAACACAUAGGAACCAGAGGGUAACUUCUUUUUAAGUUUUCAUUUAUCUUUUGUUAUCUAAUCAAACUACUUUUGUUUUGUUUUCUUUUGCCAGUUACUAUCAAGCUACUUCUGUUUAUAUUAUUUUUUUAGUAAUUUGACAAAUAAAUGUGAUUUAGGAAGUCAUAAGAUUGAGACAUGAAUGUGCACUAGCGUUAUGUGAUUGCUGCUUUGAUUAACUGUGGAGUUGUUGAGGCAUAAUUUCAUGCAUUUUGAAUUGCUUUGAAACAGAGUUGGAAUAUCUUUGCUUCUACUAAAUCUUAGGAUUCUUGUGAGAUCAUAUUUGUUUGCUAAAACUCUACCCGAUUGAUCCUUAUAUCCCUAACAUGGGACAUGCAUCCAUUUUGAAAAAUUCAAAGGCCCUUCCCCUUCCAGAAAAAAAAGAAAGAAAGAAAGAAAAGUAAGAAAAAGGAAAUUACAUCUACUCCGCUGGUUUAGGUCACUUAGUAACUGGGUAACUUCAUCACAAAUGUUGUUAUUCACGUAAAACGGUG